AUAAUUAGCAGUCCCCUUCCAAAUCCUGAUCAACUUUCAACAGGUCUUGCAGAGAAGAAAGUAAAAGAAUUCAAUACAAUAAUAGAUAAGCAAACCCUAUAUACACCAAACUCUUGGUGGUUGAAGGGUUUUGGAGACAUGUAUUAAUGGAAUUGCGUCAACCACUAUUAUAUACACCUUAUAAUGGCAUAGCUACCAAGUAGACUACCUAUCAUUUUGAUCACAUUCACCUGCUAUAUACAGAUACAUGAAUUUUUAACUAUUUGAUUUAACCACUUUUCUAUAUAGCUUUCAUUUUCCUCUUAAUCCUGACUAAUGCUAUCAAAGUAGUCCUUCUCGCCCAUGGCACAUGGGAUACAAGGAGGAUCUUGAGCUUGGUCUUGAGGAGUGAUACGCUGCAAGCAAGAAUCAUGAAAGUGGUGGCCGCAUGGCAAGACAGCAGCAGUUAUUGGUUUCUCUGGCUGGUGUAUGGGGCCUUCUGGAGUGAAUGACAGAUCCCUCUUGCAUAUAUGACAUUGAUUUCCACUCGGUUGAGGAGUUUUAACGUCUCCUUGCCUUCCUUGCCACUUGAUAUGGUGAGGUGAAGAAGUUCUGGGCAAGGAUGAAAGACGAGAAGUGUAGGCUGUAGGUGGGCGACUGGGAAAACUCCGGGGUACGAGGGGGCUUAAGGAAUCAACCGAAGUUAGAGGAGCAUGUGUUGGACUAGUUUGGAGCAAUGUUGGAGCAGACAGAUGACUGGCAGGUCUAAUUGAUCUGGACCUUUUGCACCAAGGCUGGGGAGCGUUGGGAGGGCAUAUGGGUGAUCCCCUCUUAAGAAAUCGUCCGGAAGGAACACAAGAUUGAAUAGGCCUAUUUACUGCUGGAAAUUCUUCACCUGACUGACCCUGCCAGUCAAUGCUCCUUGUAACUCCAGUAAAGGGCAAAACCAUAGAAGGCUCUGGGCAGAAAUUUCUCACAGCUCCUACAAGAGAACUCCGUAGCUGAUUAGAUGCAGGUUGAAUAGCACUCCUAACCAAAGAAGAUGAUGGUGACAACCCAUUUGCCCCAAACCAUGCAGCAUCAGGUAAGCCAACUUGGUUGCUAUUAUUUGGUAUUGAUGACUCAGUUGGAAGACCUUGAAAGCUUGUGUAAGGACUUAUAUUUGCAAAUCUCUCCUUCAUUUUCUCUCCAAAUCCUAAGUUCCAGCUGCUUGGGAUUUGAUUAUAAUUUUGCCUAUCUACUAGUGGCAACAGGGUCCCAACACUCUCAUCCCUAGAUGGUUUAGAAAGCCCACCUACAUUCUGAAUUAGACCAGAAGAUCUAUCUAUAUUCUGCGCUUGAUGAGAAAAUCCAGCCACAUUCUGCACCAGACUAGAAAAUUCAUUAGCAUUCCACACCUGAUGAGAAACCCCACUUGCAUUCUGCCCUAAACCAGAAAGUGCAUCGUUAUGUUGUGCAUGGCCUAUGCUUAUAGACUCACUCUCAUUAGGCACUAGUCUAGCAAAUCCACCAUCGUACUUCUGGAAACUAGAAAAACCAUCAGCCACAUUAGAACUAGAUUUCAAAGAACUUCUAGCAACAUUUUGACCAGAAUAAGUGUUUAACAUGGGCAGAACAAUAUUUUUAUUGCUCUGAUUGUUAUCUUUGCUGGAGACAUUAUAUUUAGAUCUGGUCUCCAGAUUAGACCCAUAUCCAAGAGUAAGGAAAUUCCCAUCAAGCAUUUCAGGAUGAUUUGAUGGAGCUACACCUGCCACGAAACUGUUAUUCAUUCUCAAUUCUCCAUUAAUUGGUGGGUUGUGGCCUAAUACAUGUGUACUACCUGGAAGGAUGACUGGAUUUCCAAAUACCCAAGGCAUAUGAAUAUUAUUACUAUUUGCUUCUCUACCAGAUCUGUACAUCUGUGAGAUGUUUAUUCCCAUUUGUCCACUAGAUGGAUUAAGGCCUGAUACAGGUGCAGUAUGUGCAUGGGUGAUUUGAUUUUCAAUUAGCCAAGGCCUACAAAUAUCACUAUCAUUUGCUUCUCUACCAGCUUUUGACAUUUGUAAGCCACCACCCACAUCAAUCCCAGUGGUUACUGUAUUUCUCUCAAUUUGAGGAUUGUCAAGAUCAGUGGCAUGGAUAUUAGCAGUAGCUACUGAAUUCACAAGAGCAUCGUAUUGACCAAAUUCAUUCAAAUUCCCUACCAAAUCUGAAAAGCCUGAAACAGGCUCAUAUAAGUAACCAGGGCCAGUCACAGGAUUGUGAAAGACAUUACAUUGAGAGAUAUCAUCCUUGAUAACAGGAAAUGACAUUUCCUGUGCAUAAGAUUGAGGCAUUCCAUGCACAUCCACAGUUGGAAAAAAAGGUGCUGAUUGUGCCGUAUCAUCAAAAAUACCAGGAAGAUCAUCAGAUCCAUCCUGUAGAUCAAAGGGUUCCAGUUCUUUAUCGCUUUGUGGAAAGGAAGCAGACAUUGGCAAUUUAUCUCCUUGUUUUGGCUUUUCACUUGCCAUUUGCAUAACUGGUUCUGAAUCAACCAAUGACUAGAAAGGAAAAAAUGAUGAAAGACGGACUCUUUUUCAAGAUCAACAAGAACCAAAAGCACCAGCGGUUGAGUGACUGCUUAGAGAGAGAGAGAGAGAGAGA
rnacentral:misc_RNA from 1 species